rnacentral:lncRNA from 1 species
UCAAGUAAAGAAAAAAAAAUCAUUCGGUUCAAGCAAAAAAAGAGAAAAACAUAUGGAGACUUGAGCUGGUUCGAGAUGGAGCCCACACUUAACAAAUGAAGGGAAUGUUACCAAGUGGCAAAUUAGAAGGAAUUUAGGAGAAAUAAUUUAUAGGUAUAGAAGGUAUAGAUAUAGAUAUAUAGUCCAGUUUGGGAAGGCAAGAAAAGUUUUUUUUUUUUGAGAGAUAGAUAGCACGCUACCCGCUUCGUUUAUUUCAUUUAGAAAUAAACUUAGCUAGAAAUGUGAAUCAACUAGGAUUCGAACUUGGGUCUCGGGUACCAACCAUCAAGCCCUUUGCCACUUGCUCUAGGAAAAAGUUAUGGACAACAAGACUGCCUUUUUUAACUUUUUUGAAUUGUCUGUUCGAACGCAACAGACUAAUCUUU